rnacentral:rRNA from 1 species
CGGGACGGGUGAGUAACACGUGGAUAACCUACCUAUAAGACUGGGAUAACUUCGGGAAACCGGAGCUAAUACCGGAUAAUAUAUUGAACCGCAUGGUUCAAUAGUGAAAGACGGUUUUGCUGUCACUUAUAGAUGGAUCCGCGCCGCAUUAGCUAGUUGGUAAGGUAACGGCUUACCAAGGCAACGAUGCGUAGCCGACCUGAGAGGGUGAUCGGCCACACUGGAACUGAGACACGGUCCAGACUCCUACGGGAGGCAGCAGGC